UACAGAGGGGGCAAGCGUUGUUCGGAUUUACUGGGCGUAAAGGGUCCGUAGGCGGUUGUGUAAGUCUGGUGUGAAAUCUUCGCCGCUUAACGGGAAGCAGCCACUGGAAACUGCAUAACUUGAGUCUGGUAGAGGCAAGCGGAAUUCCUGGUGUAGCGGUGGAAUGUGUAGAUAUCAGGAGGAACACCGGUGGCGAAGGCGGGUCUCUGGGCCGAUACUGACGCUGAGGAGCGAAAGCGUGGGGAGCGAACAGG
rnacentral:rRNA from 1 species